UUCUUUCCUCAGCAGAAGCGAAGGCGCGAAGUGGGCACCGCCGGGCCUGGCCCGGGAAGGGCCUUCGGAGAACGAAAGUGGACUCGGAAAAGCUUCUCUCUCUCCUCGUCCUGCUGGCCUCAGCCACCGGCACUUGUAGGACUCACGGGCGGGUCACGGAGGCAAGACGCAACAAUUCAAGGCUCUGGGCCUGACCACGACUUCUGUUAAAAAUACCCGUGACUACAGCUGUGGCCUUGAGAGCACGUGGAGGGGGCGCCCAGCAGCACCACAGACGGUGGGAGCCGCGUGAACAGCGAGGCCCUGGAGGCAGCCAGUGUUGGAUAGUCAGCUGCUUGGACAGCCACAGUGAUCCGCAGAGGGCAUGCAAAGGCAUGGAACUGAUGACUUCCACGACCUGCAUGACAGACCUUGAGCCAGACUGGGGUGCAAAAGAUGAACUGAGGCGCUUAUACAGACCCGCAGCAGAGUUUCAUGGAGGAUAGGGAGAGGCCUGCAUUCUAGAGAUGAAGGAUGUAAUCGAGGAUGCAGUGCAAAGGAGAUACCAGAGGUUGAAUGUCGUUCUGGAGACACACCAAUAACUGCCUUCUCUAUGAGGAGAGGUAACGGAGCUUUACCAGCAACCGAGGACGGUUGAGAGGAACUGGUGGGGGGCCGGACCGCGCGACAUUGGAAAGGGUGCAAACGGCGUGCACCGGCUACUGCGCAUGUGCGGUCCGGCCAACUAUGGCUGCUAAAAAGCCUCCGACCAGCGUCGCCGAGAUGGACCAAACACCUAGAGCAGAGCACCCACAAGGACCACUUGAAGAAGAAAUAGCUGGCUGGCAUAGUGCGGGUUCUACAGCCUCUACAGGGCGACUAAUACGAACAUCAGAAUUUCUCUUAUAUAAUAUUUAAAUUAAAACCAGCACAUUUACUUGAUGUUGCUAGGGUACUUAAGGAGGAGCUCAGGGCAAAGGAAUGUGUGUGUAUUUAAGAGGAAUCUCCACCUGAAAUUUGCAGGGCUGUUUCCUCUUCCCCUUGUCCCUGUCAGAAAGCAAGAGCAAUGUGCACAGCUCGUCUGCUACUGCGCUCCCCAGCCUGACUGAGGAAUGUGGCAACAGGGUACUUUCCCCUCAAUCCCAGAUGAAUGGGAACAUCCAAGUGACCCUGUACGAAUCUGGGGGUAGGGAGCUUCAGCCCUGCCACCUUAGUCCUCCCUAAAGGGUGCUGAAGAUGUGGGGGAGCAGUUCCCCCAGCCAGCUUCUUUCACUUGCCUGGUGAUGGUCUCUUUUCUGUAUGGUUUUAUGAAAAGCAAUUCCAUUCCAGGCACAUCCCAUUUUUCCUGGCACACCAGACCCUUAUGUUGCUAAAAGUAGGGAUAUUAAAGGUUAAAUGGUUAACAGGUUACCUAGUAGCCAUAUACCUUACCAGCAUGCUUACUGGGUAACCAGUUAAUCAGAGGGCACUGCCAGUGGGAGCAGUCCCCUGCAGCUCAGGCUGGGUCAGGGCCUGAGCAGCCUCCUGCCACGCACAGCCAAGGCAGGGACAGGGCCGGAGCAGGUUCUACCCUUCCCCCACCUGUAACCAGUGGUUAGCUAGCUAAACAAAUCAUUUUACAAGCUUAUUCUUUCACAUCCCUAGCUUUCAUUUAGGAUAAAAGAGGAUGCUGUAUAUUGAAUUUCUGACCAUGUAGGAGGAGUUCGUGGACAAACAGAAACUUUCUCAAAUAUAUAGAUGUUUUCUUUCCUCUAAACAUUUUAUACUUAAAAUUAAACUAUAACAAGAUAAGAGUUUUGACCCUCAAUGUACAUUAAGCAGAAACACUGUUUUCCCCUCAGAUUUAAUCUAGAUUCAAAUGUAAGCAACAGUCCAAAUAUGAAAUGAAUAAAUAUAAGA